UUGAGGAUAUCGCUAGGGGCCCGUAAAUAGGGUCCAGGACUUCACCGUCCUUGGAUUGCCACAAUGCGAUUUGAGGUUUAUUUUGAGGAUGUCGCCAGGGGCCCGUAAAUAGGGUCCGGGACUUUAAUAGUCCUUGGAUUGCCACAGUGCGAAUAUUGAGGAUAUAUAUGAAGUGACCGUAUGUGUUUACUGUGUUAUUAUCUUGGACAAUGAUUGCAUGUU
rnacentral:lncRNA from 1 species